AGAGUUGAUCAGUGGCUCAGGACGAACGCUGGCGGCGUGCCUAACACAUGCAAGUCGAGCGAGGAGAUUCCUUCGGGAUGAUCCUAGCGGCGGACGGGUGAGUAACACGUGGGCAACCUGCCUCAUAGAGAGGAAUAGCCUUCCGAAAGGGAGAUUAGUACCUCAUAACAUUGCAGUUUCGCAUGGAACAGCAAUUAAAGGAGUAAUCCGCUAGUGAGAUGGGCCCGCGGCGCAUUAGCUAGUUGGUGAGGUAACGGCUCACCAAGGCGACGAUGCGUAGCCGACCUGAGAGGGUGAUCGGCCACAUUGGGACUGAGACACGGCCCAGACUCCUACGGGAGGCAGCAGUGGGAAUAUUGCACAAUGGGGGAAACCCUGAUGCAGCCAACGCCGCGUGAGUGAUGACGGCCUUCGGGUUGUAAAGCUCUGUCUUCAGGGACGAUAAUGACGGUACCUGAGGAGGAAGCCACGGCUAACUACGUGCCAGCAGCAGC
rnacentral:rRNA from 1 species